GUGAUAAAAAGUGUUUGAAAACAUAGCAACCACUUCUGGACCUAUGGCCGGUUUAUCUAUGAAAAUACGGACAGUCAAACAGGAAAUAGUUCCAGGAUUAUAAUUUAGUACGCCAGACACGCGUUUCGUCUACAUAAGACUCAUCAGUGACGCUCAUAUCAAAAUAGUUAUAAAGCCAAACAAGUACAAAGUUGAAGAGCAUUGAG
rnacentral:lncRNA from 1 species